AUAUAUUUUAAGGGGAGCCAUCGCUGAGAGGGAUUUAAUUCCGACCCUAGAGCUGAUCCGGGUAAUGCCGGCGUAGCGAACAGGUCCCCUCUUAAU
rnacentral:ncRNA from 1 species